AGAGUUUGAUCAUGGCUCAGGACGAACGCUGGCGGCGUGCCUAACACAUGCAAGUCGAGCGGGGAUAUAUGCUGGAGCGCUUCGGUGUGAAGGGAUAUAUCCUAGCGGCGGACGGGUGAGUAACGCGUGGGGAACCUGCCCUUAAGUUCGGGAUACCAACUCGAAAGGGUUGUUAAUACCGGAUGUGCUGCAUUAGCCGCAUGGCGGAUGUAGUAAAGGGGAGACCCGCUUAAGGAUGGCCCUGCGUUCCAUUAGCUAGUUGGUGGGUAACGGCCUACCAAGGCGACGAUGGAUAGCCGGCCUGAGAGGGCGACCGGCCACACUGGGACUGAGACACGGCCCAGACUCCUACGGGGGGCAGCAGUGGGGAAUCUUGCACAAUGGGCGGAAGCCUGAUGCAGCGACGCCGCGUGAGGGACGAAGGUCUUCGGAUCGUAAACCUCUGUCCAAAGGGACGAAGGAGUGACGGUACCUUUGGAGGAAGCCCCGGCCAACUACGUGCCAGCAGCCGCGGUAAGACGUAGGGGGCGAGCGUUGUCCGGAAUCAUUGGGCGUAAAGGGCGCGUAGGCGGUGACGUAAGUCAGGCGUGGAAGGCAUCGGCUCAACCGGCGCACAUAGCCUGAUACUACGUUGCUAGAGUGCAGGAGAGGAGAGUGGAAUUCCAGGUGUAGCGGUGAAAUGCGUAGAUAUCUGGAAGAACACCAGUGGCGAAGGCGGCUCUCUGGACUGUAACUGACGCUGAGGCGCGAAAGCUGGGGGAGCAAACAGGAUUAGAUACCCUGGUAGUCCCAGCCGUAAACGAUGAACACUAGGUGUAGGGGGUAUCGGCCCCUCCUGUGCCGCANUUAACGCAGUAAGUGUUCCGCCUGGGGAGUACGGCCGCAAGGCUGAAACUCAAAGGAAUUGACGG
rnacentral:rRNA from 1 species